AGACCCGUAUAGCUCCACCCCCUCUCUCGUGGACGAUUGGUUACUGGAGGAGGCAGGACGUAAAGAAGGGCGUAGGAGUUUCUUUGCGGAGAGAGCGCCCGUGAGAAAAAGCGGGCGCAUGCGCAGUGCGACACGAAGGCUGUUGAUUCGUGCCCGGGAACCAUUUGAUGGAUGUGUCCACUCCAACCCCAGCAUGUCCUUUAGCUCCUGAAGAAAUUGGCAUCACUUCCUCAAUGGGACACAGCAGCACAAGAGGCUAUCCAUUAAAUCCAUCCUUGCCGGAUCACUUUAGGGUUUUUCACCUUCCCUUCCAACUGCUUUUGCCUUCUGGCUCCACAAGGGACUGACCAGGUUUCUACAAAAGAUGGAUCGUCAACCUUGAAGAGGUAGCAGGUUUUCUCAUGGAAAUAAUUCAGAGUUUGUAACGAUUUAUAUUUAUUUGACAUCCUUUUGUGUGUUUUACUAUCACCGCUGUUAACUGUG